GGUUAACCGUAUAGGGGAGCCGAAGGGAAACCGAGUCUUAACUGGGCGUUAAGUUGCAGGGUAUAGACCCGAAACCCGGUGAUCUAGCCAUGGGCAGGUUGAAGGUUGGGUAACACUAACUGGAGGACCGAACCGACUAAUGUUGAAAAAUUAGCGGAUGACUUGUGGCUGGGGGUGAAAGGCCAAUCAAACCGGGAGAUAGCUGGUUCUCCCCGAAAGCUAUUUAGGUAGCGCCUCGUGAAUUCAUCUUCGGGGGUAGAGCACUGUUUCGGCUAGGGGGUCAUCCCGACUUACCAACCCGAUGCAAACUGCGAAUACCGAAGAAUGUUAUCACGGGAGACACACGGCGGGUGCUAACGUCCGUCGUGAAGAGGGAAACAACCCAGACCGCCAGCUAAGGUCCCAAAGUCAUGGUUAAGUGGGAAACGAUGUGGGAAGGCACAGACAGCCAGGAUGUUGGCUUAGAAGCAGCCAUCAUUUAAAGAAAGCGUAAUAGCUCACUGGUCGAGUCGGCCUGCGCGGAAGAUGUAACGGGGCUAAACCAUGCACCGAAGCUGCGGCAGCGACACUAUGUGUUGUUGGGUAGGGGAGCGUUCUGUAAGCCGUUGAAGGUGUGCUGUGAGGCAUGCUGGAGGUAUCAGAAGUGCGAAUGCUGACAUAAGUAACGAUAAUGCGGGUGAAAAACCCGCACGCCGGAAGACCAAGGGUUCCUGUCCAACGUUAAUCGGGGCAGGGUGAGUCGACCCCUAAGGCGAGGCCGAAAGGCGUAGUCGAUGGGAAACAGGUUAAUAUUCCUGUACUUGGUGUUACUGCGAAGGGGGGACGGAGAAGGCUAUGUUAGCCGGGCGACGGUUGUCCCGGUUUAAGCAUGUAGGCGGAGGUUCCAGGUAAAUCCGGUACCUUUUUAACGCUGAGGUGUGAUGACGAGGCACUACGGUGCUGAAGUAACAAAUGCCCUGCUUCCAGGAAAAGCCUCUAAGCAUCAGGUAACACGAAAUCGUACCCCAAACCGACACAGGUGGUCAGGUAGAGAAUACCAAGGCGCUUGAGAGAACUCGGGUGAAGGAACUAGGCAAAAUGGUGCCGUAACUUCGGGAGAAGGCACGCUGAUAUGUAGGUGAAGUGAUUUACUCAUGGAGCUGAAAUCAGUCGAAGAUACCAGCUGGCUGCAACUGUUUAUUAAAAACACAGCACUGUGCAAACACGAAAGUGGACGUAUACGGUGUGACGCCUGCCCGGUGCCGGAAGGUUAAUUGAUGGGGUUAUCCGUAAGGAGAAGCUCUUGAUCGAAGCCCCGGUAAACGGCGGCCGUAACUAUAACGGUCCUAAGGUAGCGAAAUUCCUUGUCGGGUAAGUUCCGACCUGCACGAAUGGCGUAAUGAUGGCCAGGCUGUCUCCACCCGAGACUCAGUGAAAUUGAACUCGCUGUGAAGAUGCAGUGUACCCGCGGCAAGACGGAAAGACCCCGUGAACCUUUACUAUAGCUUGACACUGAACACUGGUCCUUGAUGUGUAGGAUAGGUGGGAGGCUUUGAAGUGUGGACGCCAGUCUGCAUGGAGCCAUCCUUGAAAUACCACCCUUUAAUGGCUGGUGUUCUAACGUGGACCCGUGAUCCGGGUUGCGGACAGUGUCUGGUGGGUAGUUUGACUGGGGCGGUCUCCUCCUAAAGAGUAACGGAGGAGCACGAAGGUUAGCUAAUCCUGGUCGGACAUCAGGAGGUUAGUGCAAAGGCAUAAGCUAGCUUGACUGCGAGAGUGACGGCUCGAGCAGGUGCGAAAGCAGGUCUUAGUGAUCCGGUGGUUCUGAAUGGAAGGGCCAUCGCUCAACGGAUAAAAGGUACUCCGGGGAUAACAGGCUGAUACCGCCCAAGAGUUCAUAUCGACGGCGGUGUUUGGCACCUCGAUGUCGGCUCAUCACAUCCUGGGGCUGAAGUAGGUCCCAAGGGUAUGGCUGUUCGCCAUUUAAAGUGGUACGCGAGCUGGGUUUAGAACGUCGUGAGACAGUUCGGUCCCUAUCUGCCGUGGGCGCUGGAGAAUUGAGGGGGGCUGCUCCUAGUACGAGAGGACCGGAGUGGACGCAUCACUGGUGUUCGGGUUGUCAUGCCAAUGGCAUUGCCCGGUAGCUAAAUGCGGAAGAGAUAAGUGCUGAAAGCAUCUAAGCACGAAACUUGCCCCGAGAUGAGUUCUCCCUGAGACU
rnacentral:rRNA from 1 species